CCAGACUCCUACGGGAGGCAGCAGUGGGGAAUAUUGCACAAUGGGGGAAACCCUGAUGCAGCAACGCCGCGUGAGUGAAGAAGCGUUUCGGCGCGUAAAGCUCUGUCAGCGGGGAAGAAAGAAGACGGUACCUGACUAAGAAGCCCCGGCUAACUACGUGCCAGCAGCCGCGGUAAUACGUAGGCGGCAAGCGUUAUCCGGAUUUACUGGGUGUAAAGGGAGCGUAGACGGAGAAGCAAGUCUGAAGUGAAAGCCCGUGGCCUAACCACGGGACUGCUUUGGAAACUGUUUGACUAGAGUGCUGGAGAGGUAAGUGGAAUUCCUAGUGUAGCGGUGAAAUGCGUAGAUAUUAGGAGGAACACCAGUGGCGAAGGCGGCUUACUGGACAGUAACUGACGUUGAGGCUCGAAAGCGUGGGGAGCAAACAGGAUUAGAUACCCUGGUAAGA
rnacentral:rRNA from 1 species